GUAGGUGGCAAGCGUUGUCCGGAAUUAUUGGGCGUAAAGCGCGCGCAGGCGGUCCUUUAAGUCUGAUGUGAAAGCCCACGGGCUCAACCGUGGAGGGUCAUUGGAAACUGGGGGACUUGAGUACAGAAGAGGAAAGCGGAAUUCCAAGUGUAGCGGUGAAAUGCGUAGAGAUUCGGAGGAACACCAGUGGCGAAGGCGGCUUUCUGGUCUGUAACUGACGCUGAGGCGCGAAAGCGUGGGGAGCAAACAGGAUUAGAUACCCUGGUAGUCCACGCCGUAAACGAUGAGUGCUAAGUGUUAGGGGGUUUCCGCCCCUUAGUGCUGCAGCUAACGCAUUAAGCACUCCGCCUGGGGAGUACGGCCGCAAAGGCUGA
rnacentral:rRNA from 1 species